rnacentral:rRNA from 1 species
AGCGGGAAGCCUGCUUCGAGAUGAGUAUUCCCACCCCCUCGAGGGGUUAAGGCUCCCAGUAGACGACUGGGUUGAUAGGCCGGAUGUGGAAGCCCUGUAAGGGGUGGAGCUGACCGGUACUAAUAGGCCGAGGGCUUGUCCUC